AUGGGGUGACUGCGUACCUUUUGUAUAAUGGGUCAGCGACUUAUAUUCUGUAGCAAGGUUAACCGUAUAGGGGAGCCGUAGGGAAACCGAGUCUUAACUGGGCGAAUGAGUUGCAGGGUAUAGACCCGAAACCCGGUGAUCUAUCCAUGGGCAGGUUGAAGGUUGGGUAACACUAACUGGAGGACCGAACCGACUAAUGUUGAAAAAUUAGCGGAUGACUUGUGGAUGGGGGUGAAAGGCCAAUCAAACCGGGAGAUAGCUGGUUCUCCCCGAAAGCUAUUUAGGUAGCGCCUCGUGAACUCAUCUUCGGGGGUAGAGCACUGUUUCGACUAGGGGGUCAUCCCGACUUACCAACUCGAUGCAAACUGCGAAUACCGAAGAAUGUUAUCACGGGAGACACACGGCGGGUGCUAACGUCCGUCGUGAAGAGGGAAACAACCCAGACCGCCAGCUAAGGUCCCAAAGUCAUGGUUAAGUGGGAAACGAAGUGGGAAGGCUCAGACAGCCAGGAUGUUGGCUUAGAAGCAGCCAUCAUUUAAAGAAAGCGUAAUAGCUCACUGGUCGAGUCGGCCCGCGCGGAAGAUGUAACGGGGCUAAACCAUGCACCGAAGCUGCGGCAGCGACACAUAGUGUUGUUGGGUAGGGGAGCGUUCUGUAAGCCUGCGAAGGUGUACUGUGAGGUAUGCUGGAGGUAUCAGAAGUGCGAAUGCUGACAUAAGUAACGAUAAUGCGGGUGAAAAACCCGCACGCCGGAAGACCAAGGGUUCCUGUCCAACGUUAAUCGGGGCAGGGUGAGUCGACCCCUAAGGCGAGGCUGAAAAGCGUAGUCGAUGGGAAACGGGUUAAUAUUCCCGUACUGGUGGUAACUGCGAUGGGGGAACGGAGAAGGCUAGGUUGUCCGGGCGACGGUCGUCCCGGUUCAAGCAGGUAGGCAGAGUGAUUAGGCAAAUCCGGUCACUUAAUGCUGAGAUGUGAUGACGAACCACCAAGGUGGUGAAGCAAUUGAUGCCCCGCUUCCAGGAAAAGCCUCUAAGCUUCAGGUUACCAACAAUCGUACCCCAAACCGACACAGGUGGUCAGGUAGAGAAUACUCAGGCGCUUGAGAGAACUCGGGUGAAGGAACUAGGCAAAAUGGUGCCGUAACUUCGGGAGAAGGCACGCUGGCGGUAGGUAAAGUCCCUCGCGGACGGCGCUGAAGCCAGUCGAAGAUACCAGCUGGCUGCAACUGUUUAUUAAAAACACAGCACUGUGCAAACACGAAAGUGGACGUAUACGGUGUGACGCCUGCCCGGUGCUGGAAGGUUAAUUGAUGGGGUUAGCGUAAGCGAAGCUCCUGAUCGAAGCCCCAGUAAACGGCGGCCGUAACUAUAACGGUCCUAAGGUAGCGAAAUUCCUUGUCGGGUAAGUUCCGACCUGCACGAAUGGCGUAAUGAUGGCCAGGCUGUCUCCACCCGAGACUCAGUGAAAUUGAACUCGCUGUGAAGAUGCAGUGUACCCGCGGCAAGACGGAAAGACCCCGUGAACCUUUACUAUAGCUUGACACUGAACAUUGAGCCUUGAUGUGUAGGAUAGGUGGGAGGCUUUGAAGUGUGGACGCCAGUCUGCAUGGAGCCAACCUUGAAAUACCACCCUUUAACGUUUGAUGUUCUAACCUAGGCCCAUAAACUGGGUCGGGGACCGUGUCUGGUGGGUAGUUUGACUGGGGCGGUCUCCUCCUAAAGAGUAACGGAGGAGCACGAAGGUUGGCUAAGCAUGGUCGGACAUCAUGCGGUUAGUGCAAAGGCAUAAGCCAGCUUGACUGCGAGAGUGACGGCUCGAGCAGGUACGAAAGUAGGUCUUAGUGAUCCGGUGGUUCUGAAUGGAAGGGCCAUCGCUCAACGGAUAAAAGGUACUCCGGGGAUAACAGGCUGAUACCGCCCAAGAGUUCAUAUCGACGGCGGUGUUUGGCACCUCGAUGUCGGCUCAUCACAUCCUGGGGCUGAAGUAGGUCCCAAGGGUAUGGCUGUUCGCCAUUUAAAGUGGUACGCGAGCUGGGUUUAGAACGUCGUGAGACAGUUCGGUCCCUAUCUGCCGUGGGCGUUGGAAGAUUGAGAGGGGUUGCUCCUAGUACGAGAGGACCGGAGUGAACGCACCACUGGUGUUCGGGUUGUCAUGCCAAUGGCAUUGCCCGGUAGCUAAGUGCGGAAGAGAUAACCGCUGAAAGCAUCUAAGCGGGAAACUUGCCUCGAGAUGAGUCUUCCCUGUCGCUUUAAGCGACCUAAAGGAACGUUUAAGACUAAGACGUUGAUAGGCUGGGUGUGUAAGCGUAGCGAUACGUUGAGCUAACCAGUACUAAUGAACCGUGAGGCUUAACCUG
rnacentral:rRNA from 1 species